rnacentral:rRNA from 1 species
UACGUAGGGUGCAAGCGUUAAUCGGAAUUACUGGGCGUAAAGCGUGCGCAGGCGGUUGUGCAAGACAGAUGUGAAAUCCCCGGGCUCAACCUGGGAAUUGCAUUUGUGACUGCACGGCUAGAGUGUGUCAGAGGGGGGUAGAAUUCCACGUGUAGCAGUGAAAUGCGUAGAGAUGUGGAGGAAUACCGAUGGCGAAGGCAGCCCCCUGGGAUAACACUGACGCUCAUGCACGAAAGCGUUGGGGAGCAAACAGG